rnacentral:tRNA from 1 species
GCCCUGGUGGCAGAACAAUUAAGCGUUUGGCUGCCGACCUAAAGGUUGGUGGUUCAAACCCAUCCAGAGGCU